rnacentral:rRNA from 1 species
CGGGGUGCACCAGGCGCGAAAACUUUACAAUGCUGGCAACAGCGAUAAGGGGACCUCGAGUGCCAGGUUACAAAUCUGGCUGUCGUGAUGCCUAAAAAGCAUUGCAUAGCAAGGGCCGGGCAAGACCGGUGCCAGCCGCCGCGGUAACACCGGCGGCUCGAGUGGUAACCGUUAUUAUUGGGUCUAAAGGGUCUGUAGCCGGCCGGGUAAGUCUCUUGGGAAAUCUGGCAGCUUAACUGUCAGGCUUUCAGGAGAUACUGCCUGGCUCGAGGCCGGGAGAGGUGAGAGGUACUUCAGGGGUAGGGGUGAAAUCUUGUAAUCCUUGAAGGACCACCAGUGGCGAAGGCGUCUCACCAGAACGGACCUGACGGCAAGGGACGAAAGCUAGGGGCACGAACCGGAUUAGAUACCCGGGUAGUCCUAGCCGUAAACGAUACUCGCUAGGUGUCGGCCACGGUGCGACCGUGGUCGGUGCCGUAGGGAAGCCGUGAAGCGAGCCACCUGGGAAGUACGGCCGCAAGGCUGAAACUUAAAGGAAUUGGCGGGGGAGCACAAGGGCGAAUUCGCG